UUGAACGCUGGCGGCAGGCCUAACACAUGCCAGUCGCACGGUAACAGGAAACAGCUUGCUGUUUCGCUGACGAGUGGCGGACGGGUGAGUAAUGUCUGGGAAACUGCCUGAUGGAGGGGGAUAACUACUGGAAACGGUAGCUAAUACCGCAUAACGUCGCAAGACCAAAGAGGGGGACCUUCGGGCCUCUUGCCAUCGGAUGUGCCCAGAUGGGAUUAGCUAGUAGGUGGGGUAACGGCUCACCUAGGCGACGAUCCCUAGCUGGUCUGAGAGGAUGACCAGCCACACUGGAACUGAGACACGGUCCAGACUCCUACGGGAGGCAGCAGUGGGGAAUAUUGCACAAUGGGCGCAAGCCUGAUGCAGCCAUGCCGCGUGUAUGAAGAAGGCCUUCGGGUUGUAAAGUACUUUCAGCGGGGAGGAAGGGAGUAAAGUUAAUACCUUUACUCAUUGACGUUACCCGCAGAAGAAGCACCGGCUAACUCCGUG
rnacentral:rRNA from 1 species